GGACCUUAUAGUUUUCUACCAAUCCAGAAACCUGCCAAGCCUUUAGGCAUGCAUUGCGCCAAAAUACAGGGUUCCGAAUUGUAUACCUCCACUUUCGACAAACACAAGCUGCCUUACCCAAGGUGUAUGGGGUCGUUUUUGACAAGAUCUCAAAAAGCAGUUCAUCAGGUAGUACUCGGUGUAUCAAUGCAGGGUCAACAAACUGCUUGCUGCUAGCACUUCCAAAAGGAGCGACAGGUCUAACAUUAAUCCCAUACAAAUCAAGCCAUGGCCUAUGAGGAAAAAUGAACUGAGAAGCUCUCAACUGUGCAGCAGUUUCGAGUUCCACAGCAAGUUCCACUGUGUAAUCUGAGGCCAUUUUUCUUGGUUUUGAAUGUUGUGCUUGACAAUUUGGAUAUCCAGCCCGAGAAAAACUGUGUAAAGGAAGAAAUGAAAA
rnacentral:misc_RNA from 1 species